rnacentral:rRNA from 1 species
CACUCUAGCAUAAAAAGUAUUAGAGGCACUGCCUGCCCAGUGACAUUCGUUCAACGGCCGCGGUAUCCUGACCGUGCAAAGGUAGCAUAAUCAUUUGUUCUCUAAAUAGGGACUUGUAUGAAAGGCUUAACGAGGGUUUAACUGUCUCUUACUUCCAAUCAGUGAAAUUGACCUUCCCGUGAAGAGGCGGGAAUAACCAAAUAAGACGAGAAGACCCUAUGGAGCUUAAAUCUAUUAACCCAAGCAUACAACAGCACCCUGCUCUACGGACAUGCAAAAACCUGCUAAUGGGUUAAAAAUUUUGGUUGGGGUGACCUCGGAGCAUAGACCAAUCUCCGAAUGAUUUUAAUUGAGACACACCUGUCUAAACCUUAAAUCAUCCAUUGACCCAAUAUAUUUUGAUCAACGGAACAAGUUACCCUAGGGAUAACAGCGCAAUCCUACUCAAGAGUUCAUAUCGACAGUCAGGGUUUACGACCUCGAUGUUGGAUCAGGACAUCCAAAUGGUGCAGCAGCUAUUAAUGGUUCGUUUGUUCAACGAUUAAAGUC